rnacentral:rRNA from 1 species
GAUGAACGCUGGCGGCGUGCCUAAUACAUGCAAGUCGAGCGAACGGACGAGAAGCUUGCUUCUCUGAUGUUAGCGGCGGACGGGUGAGUAACACGUGGACAACCUACCUAUAAGACUGGGAUAACUUCGGGAAACCGGAGCUAGUACCGGAUAAUAUUUUGAACCGCAUGGUUCAAAAGUGAAAGACGGUCUUGCUGUCACUUAUAGAUGGAUCCGCGCUGCAUUAGCUAGUUGGUAAGGUAACGGCUUACCAAGGCAACGAUGCAUAGCCGACCUGAGAGGGUGAUCGGCCACACUGGAACUGAGACACGGUCCAGACUCCUACGGGAGGCAGCAGUAGGGAAUCUUCCGCAAUGGGCGAAAGCCUGACGGAGCAACGCCGCGUGAGUGAUGAAGGUCUUCGGAUCGUAAAACUCUGUUAUUAGGGAAGAACAUAUGUGUAAGUAACUGUGCACAUCUUGACGGUACCUAAUCAGAAAGCCACGGCUAACUACGUGCCAGCAGCCGCGGUAAUACGUAGGUGGCAAGCGUUAUCCGGAAUUAUUGGGCGUAAAGCGCGCGUAGGCGGUUUUUUAAGUCUGAUGUGAAAGCCCACGGCUCAACCGUGGAGGGUCAUUGGAAACUGGAAAACUUGAGUGCAGAAGAGGAAAGUGGAAUUCCAUGUGUAGCGGUGAAAUGCGCAGAGAUAUGGAGGAACACCAGUGGCGAAGGCGACUUUCUGGUCUGUAACUGACGCUGAUGUGCGAAAGCGUGGGGAUCAAACAGGAUUAGAUACCCUGGUAGUCCACGCCGUAAACGAUGAGUGCUAAGUGUUAGGGGGUUUCCGCCCCUUAGUGCUGCAGCUAACGCAUUAAGCACUCCGCCUGGGGAGUACGACCGCAAGGUUGAAACUCAAAGGAAUUGACGGGGACCCGCACAAGCGGUGGAGCAUGUGGUUUAAUUCGAAGCAACGCGAAGAACCUUACCAAAUCUUGACAUCCUUUGACAACUCUAGAGAUAGAGCCUUCCCCUUCGGGGGACAAAGUGACAGGUGGUGCAUGGUUGUCGUCAGCUCGUGUCGUGAGAUGUUGGGUUAAGUCCCGCAACGAGCGCAACCCUUAAGCUUAGUUGCCAUCAUUAAGUUGGGCACUCUAAGUUGACUGCCGGUGACAAACCGGAGGAAGGUGGGGAUGACGUCAAAUCAUCAUGCCCCUUAUGAUUUGGGCUACACACGUGCUACAAUGGACAAUACAAAGGGCAGCGAAACCGCGAGGUCAAGCAAAUCCCAUAAAGUUGUUCUCAGUUCGGAUUGUAGUCUGCAACUCGACUACAUGAAGCUGGAAUCGCUAGUAAUCGUAGAUCAGCAUGCUACGGUGAAUACGUUCCCGGGUCU